ACAAGGUGGAAGUCUUGGGUCAUUUUCAUCGGACAUUUGUCGAUUGUUGCAACUUUGCGAGGAGGAUGAUGAUGCGUCUAGUCCAUUAGCUGCUCCUAAGCCCGAACCUAAUGAACAAAAUUUGCAGGUUGGAGAUACUAUGGCACUGCAAGAGGGAUAUAAUGUGAAUCAUGGACACCAAGAACCAAGCUUCCCUCUGGUUGAUCAAUGCAAGAACUCCCCUUCAGGAGUGCAUGGUAUGGCUAUGAAUAACUUGGAAGGACCUACACAAUUGGAGUGUCAUCAGUUUGAUUUACAUCAAGGCAUUGAGCACAACUUCUACUCUAUUCUUAAUGGUAGAGGAUUAUGUGGGGAGGGUGCAAUUCCUCAUGUUUCUAGCUACUGUCCCAGCAUUUGCCCUCCACCUGCUGCUUUUUUGGGUCCAAAAUGUGUGCUUUGGGAUUGCCCACGACCUGCCCAAGGGAUGGAUUGGUGUGAGGACUACUGUAGCAGCUUUCAUGCUGCCUUAGCAUUGAAUGAAGGCCCUCCUGGAAUGGGUCCAGUUUUAAGACCUGGUGGAAUUGGUCUGAAGGAUGGUUUGCUUUUUGCUGCUCUUAGUGCAAAGGCACAAGGGAAAGAUGUUGGUAUCCCUGAAUGUGAGGGAGCUGCCACGGCAAAAUCCCCAUGGAAUGCUCCUGAGCUUUUUGAUCUGUCAAUAUUGGAGGGUGAGAUGAUUAGGGAGUGGCUUUUCUUUGAUAAGCCUCGUAGAGCAUUUGAGAGUGGGAAUAGAAAGCAGAGGUCACUGCCUGAUUACAGUGGACGUGGUUGGCACGAGUCAAGAAAGCAAG
rnacentral:misc_RNA from 1 species